UCUGGGACAAGCCCUGGAAACGGGGUCUAAUACCGGAUAACACUUCCACUCGCAUGGGUGGGGGUUGAAAGCUCCGGCGGUGAAGGAUGAGCCCGCGGCCUAUCAGCUUGUUGGUGAGGUAGAAGCUCACCAAGGCGACGACGGGUAGCCGGCCUGAGAGGGCGACCGGCCACACUGGGACUGAGACACGGCCCAGACUCCUACGGGAGGCAGCAGUGGGGAAUAUUGCACAAUGGGCGAAAGCCUGAUGCAGCGACGCCGCGUGAGGGAUGACGGCCUUCGGGUUGUAAACCUCUUUCAGCAGGGAAGAAGCGAAAGUGACGGUACCUGCAGAAGAAGCGCCGGCUAACUACGUGCCAGCAGCCGCGGUAAUACGUAGGGCGCAAGCGUUGUCCGGAAUUAUUGGGCGUAAAGAGCUCGUAGGCGGUCUGUCACGUCGGAUGUGAAAGCCCGGGGCUUAACCCCGGGUCUGCAUUCGAUACGGGCAGACUAGAGUGUGGUAGGGGAGAUCGGAAUUCCUGGUGUAGCGGUGAAAUGCGCAGAUAUCAGGAGGAACACCGGUGGCGAAGGCGGAUCUCUGGGCCAUUACUGACGCUGAGGAGCGAAAGCGUGGGGAGCGAACAGGAUUAGAUACCCUGGUAGUCCACGCCGUAAACGGUGGGAACUAGGUGUUGGCGACAUUCCACGUCGUCGGUGCCGCAGCUAACGCAUUAAGUUCCCCGCCUGG
rnacentral:rRNA from 1 species